rnacentral:rRNA from 1 species
UACGAAGGGGGCUAGCGUUGUUCGGAUUUACUGGGCGUAAAGCGCGCGUAGGCGGAUCGUUAAGUCGGGGGUGAAAUCCUGGAGCUCAACUCCAGAACUGCCUUCGAUACUGGCGAUCUCGAGUCCGGAAGAGGUGAGUGGAACUCCUAGUGUAGAGGUGGAAUUCGUAGAUAUUAGGAAGAACACCAGUGGCGAAGGCGGCUCACUGGUCCGGUACUGACGCUGAGACGCGAAAGCGCGGGGAGCGAACGGG